UCAUAUUUACAAGUCGUUCUGUACUUGGAACUAAGUUGAAGAAAAGAAGUCGUUCUCUGGCUGAACGUAUACUUUAGACGUCAUUGCCUCUGGUGCUUAGGCUCCCGCGCUGCGACGCAUGCGCUGCUCUCGUGCGAGGAGUAAUUAGCGAUGUGCUGGACGCUGCUGGCCCCCGGACGCCAGGUUUCGAACUCACCUCGCACAACUAAAAACUCAAUGCACUAACCAC
rnacentral:lncRNA from 1 species